UACGAAGGGGGCUAGCGUUGUUCGGAAUUACUGGGCGUAAAGCGUGCGCAGGCGGCUUCUCAAGUCAGGGGUGAAAGCCCAGAGCUCAACUCUGGAAUUGCCUUUGAGACUGAGUGGCUUGAGUACGAGAGAGGUGAGUGGAAUUCCCAGUGUAGAGGUGAAAUUCGUAGAUAUUGGGAAGAACACCGGUGGGCGAAGGCGGCUCACUGGCUCGUAACUGACGCUCAU
rnacentral:rRNA from 1 species